rnacentral:lncRNA from 1 species
UCUCUUUUUGUAACUCUCUGAGGGUUAUUUGUUUUUGACAGAGAAAAGAGUUGUGAUUUUGCUCUUACAGGAUAAAACUAGAUCAUCAAGCGCUACGUUAUAUUUACUAGGGCGAUACGAGCUUGAAUGAUACUUGAGAAAAAUUUCUCCCACCUAAGGAUGUAAGCAAUACUUGUGUUAUUUUUAUGCUUAUAUACUUAUUUGAUAUUUUAUCUUGAAAGGUAACCAAAUUGAGAGAUAAGUCUGUUCCAAAAUGGCUUGUAUGUAUCCAUGAAUUAUUAAUGUAAAUUUUACAGAUUGCAAGUUGGAUACAUUGAUAAUACACUGCACAGAUUAAAGUCCCAUAAGAAUAGAAUAUGGGUAUAGCAGUAAUCAAUAUGAUGCACGCCUGUUGCGUAGCAAAUGAUGUGGAUUGAAGUCCCGAAAGGACAAUCCUUUGACAUGUCAAUAUUGAUAUUAUGCACGCCUAAUGCGUAGUAAAUUAUAUGGGUUAAAGUCCCAUAAUAUGGGUUAAGGUCCCAGCAAUUAAUUGACAUGAAUGUAUUAAUCUGUGGCAUGCCUUCAACGUGACAGAUAUAUGGGUUCUAAAUGUUCCAACUCCCUAAAUGGAGAUUAUCC